CCAUCUGGAGCGGUAGGAUAAUAAUCCCGUAUUCAAAUCUAGUUAAAUCCCGCAUCCAACUCUAGUAAAAUAGCGGUUACAAGGAUGACAUGAUUGACGCCUGCAACAACCCGUCGUGCUGAGCAUUGAAGGAAGAAAAGGAGCGUGGGACGAAAAGAUUUCAAUUAACGUUGAGUUCAGGUAAUGUUCUGCAUUAUGUAUUUGGUUGCAAAAUCCUUGGUUGUAAUGCACAACUAGAUUUGAAUCUGUACUGCACAGGAUUGUAGUGGACAUAACUUUGGCCUUAAUUAGUUCACGAAGCCUUGAUUUUAGAAAUUUUGUUCCCUUUGAUGUGCCAUGGUGAAUUUUAAUGAACAUUAAAAAAGUUGUUUGUAGGGCGAAGGAGAAAUCAUAGGCUGAUAGAUAACCAAGUUCAAGUCUUAUCUGUGGAGGAAACCUAGGGUGAUCUGCCCCUGCAUUUGAAUAUCCUCCACAAGCUCAGAGUAAUAUAUGCACACCGUAUGCUAACAUGGCUGGAGAACAAAAGAACAGUGCUGAACAAGAUGGUGUAGUUUAAAACUAAAGAGUUAUGUCAAUGCUUAUGUAAUCAAUAAUGUUACUGGUUCUUUUGGAACAAGUAGUUUAUUAAGCUGUUUGGAUUGAAUGGAAUGCUUUUAUUUUUUUUAUAAACCUCUAUAGUGGUGAUAAAUUGAAUGGCUUAAAUGGAUUUAUAUUGAUUU